rfam:Trichosporon asahii var. asahii CBS 8904 unplaced genomic scaffold scaffold00105, whole genome shotgun sequence.
GGGCGUGUAGCUCAGUUGGUAGAGCGCGUCAUUAGCAUCUUCUAGCUCAUUGACGAGGUCUUUGGUUCGAUUCCUAACUCGUCCA